rnacentral:rRNA from 1 species
GAUGAACGCUGGCGGCGUGCCUAAUACAUGCAAGUCGAGCGAACGGACGAGAAGCUUGCUUCUCUGAUGUUAGCGGCGGACGGGUGAGUAACACGUGGAUAACCUACCUAUAAGACUGGGAUAACUUCGGGAAACCGGAGCUAAUACCGGAUAAUAUUUUGAACCGCAUGGUUCAAAAGUGAAAGACGGUCUUGCUGUCACUUAUAGAUGGAUCCGCGCUGCAUUAGCUAGUUGGUAAGGUAACGGCUUACCAAGGCAACGAUGCAUAGCCGACCUGAGAGAGUGAUCGGCCACACGGGAACUGAGACGCGGUCCAGACUCCUACGGGAGGCAGCAGUAGGGAAUGUUCCGCAAUGGGCGAAAGCCUGACGGAGCAACGCCGCGUGAGUGAUGAAGGUCUUCGGAUCGUAAAACUCUGUUAUUAGGGAAGAGCAUAUGUGUAAGUAACUGUGCACAUCUUGACGGUACCUAAUCAGAAAGCCACGGCUAACUACGUG